AGUGAACGCUUUCUUUCUUCCUAACACAUGCAAGUCGAACGGCAGCACAGUAAGAGCUUGCUCUUACGGGUGGCGAGUGGCGGACGGGUGAGGAAUACAUCGGAAUCUACUUUUUCGUGGGGGAUAACGUAGGGAAACUUACUCUAAUACCGCAUACGACCUACGGUUGAAAGCAGGGGAUCUUCGGACCUUGCGCGAUUGAAUGAGCCGAUGUCGGAUUAGCUAGUUGGCGGGGUAAAGGCCCACCAAGGCGACGAUCCGUAGCUGGUCUGAGAGGAUGAUCAGCCACACUGGAACUGAGACACGGUCCAGACUACUACGGGAGGCAGCAGUGGGGAAUAUUGGACAAUGGGCGCAAGUAUGAUCCAGCCAUACCGCGUGGGUGAAGAAGGCCUUCGGGUUGUAAAGCCCUUUUGUCGGGAAAGAAAAGCAGCAGGUUAAUACCCCGCUGUUCUGACGGUACCCAAAGAAUAAGCACCGGCUAACUUCGUG
rnacentral:rRNA from 1 species